rnacentral:rRNA from 1 species
GUCUACAGCUAUACCACCCUGAACGUGCCUGAUCUCGUCUGAUCUCGGAAGCUAAGCAGGGUUGGGCCUAGUUAGUACUUGGAUGGGAAACAUGUUCAAAAUAUGACAAUUAUAUUCU